AAUUGCAGAAUUCCGUGAACCAUCGAAUCUUUGAACGCAUAUUGCGCUCAACCCCUCGGGGAAGAGCAUGUCUGCCUCAGCGUCGGUUAUACCC
rnacentral:rRNA from 1 species